UACGAAGGGGGCAAGCGUUGUUCGGAAUUACUGGGCGUAAAGGGCGCGUAGGCGGCUUAUCAAGUCAGGCGUGAAAUUCCCGGGCUUAACCUGGGGGCUGCGCUUGAUACUGAUGAGCUUGAAUGCGGGAGAGGAUAGUGGAAUUCCCAGUGUAGAGGUGAAAUUCGUAGAUAUUGGGAAGAACACCGAUGGCGAAGGCAGCCAUCUGGACCGACACUGACGCUGAGGCGCGAAAGCGUGGGGAGCAAACAGG
rnacentral:rRNA from 1 species